rnacentral:rRNA from 1 species
AGAGUUUGAUCAUGGCUCAGAAUCAACGCUGGCGGCGCGCUUAACACAUGCAAGUCGCACGAGAAAGGGAGCAAUCCUAAGUAAAGUGGCGCACGGGUGAGUAACACGUGGAUCAUCUACCUUUUAGUGGGGAAUACCUCUGGGAAACCGGAGACAAUACCGCAUAAGCCCGCAAGGGGAAAGCAGCAAUGCGCUGAAAGAGGAGUCCGCGGCCGAUUAGCUAGUUGGCGGGGUAACGGCCCACCAAGGCGAAGAUCGGUAGCCGGCCUGAGAGGGCACACGGCCACACUGGCACUGAAACACGGGCCAGACUCCUACGGGAGGCAGCAGUGGGGAAUCUUGCACAAUGGGCGAAAGCCUGAUGCAGCGACGCCGCGUGAGCGAUGAAGCCCUUCGGGGUGUAAAGCUCUUUCGACGGGAACGAUAAUGACGGUACCCGGAGAAGAAGCUGCGGCUAACUACGUGCCAGCAGCCGCGGUAAUACGUAGGCAGCGAGCGUUGUUCGGAAUUACUGGGCGUAAAGAGUGUGUAGGCGGUGUUCCCAGUCUGUUGUGAAAUCUCCCGGCUUAACUGGGAGGGUGCAGCGGAAACUAGAAUGCUAGAGGGUGGGAGAGGUAAGCGGAAUUCCUGGUGUAGCGGUGAAAUGCGUAGAUAUCAGGAGGAACACCUGGUGUAGACAGCUUACUGGACCACUUCUGACGCUGAGACACGAAAGCGUGGGUAGCAAACAGGAUUAGAUACCCCCGUAGUCC